UACGUAGGGUGCAAGCGUGUCCGGAUUAUUGGGCGUAAAGAGCUCGUAGGUGGCCUGUCGCGUCGGCUGUGAAAACUCGGGGCUCAACUCCGAGCUUGCAGUCGAUACGGGCAGGCUAGAGUUCGGCAGGGGAGACUGGAAUUCCUGGUGUAGCGGUGAAAUGCGCAGAUAUCAGGAGGAACACCGGUGGCGAAGGCGGGUCUCUGGGACGGUACUGGACGCUGAGACGCGAAAGCGUGGGGAGCAAACAGGG
rnacentral:rRNA from 1 species